UACGGGGGGGGCAAGCGUUGUUCGGAAUUACUGGGCGGAAAGGGCUCGUAGGUGGCCAACUAAGUCAGACGUGAAAUCCCUCGGCUUAACCGGGGAACUGCGUCUGAUACUGGAUGGCUAGAGAUUGGGAGAGGGAUGCGGAAUUCCAGGUGUAGCGGUGAAAUGCGUAGAUAUCUGGAGGAACACCGGUGGCGAAGGCGGCAUCCUGGACCAACACUGACGCUGAGGAGCGAAAGCCAGGGGAGCAAACGGG
rnacentral:rRNA from 1 species